rnacentral:rRNA from 1 species
UACGUAGGGACCGAGCGUUGUCCGGAUUCAUUGGGCGUAAAGGGCGCGUAGGCGGCCUGCUAAGUCGAACGUGAAAUCCCUGGGCUCAACCCAGGAACUGCGUCCGAUACUGGUUGGCUUGAAUCCGGGAGAGGGAUGUGGAAUUCCAGGUGUAGCGGUGAAAUGCGUAGAUAUCUGGAGGAACACCGGUGGCGAAGGCGACAUCCUGGACCGGUAUUGACGCUGAGGCGCGAAAGCCAGGGGAGCAAACGGG